GACGAACGCUGGCGGCGUGCUUAACACAUGCAAGUCGAACGGAAAGGCCCCCAUCUUGGUGGGGGUGCUCGAGUGGCGAACGGGUGAGUAACACGUGGGUGAUCUGCCCUGUACUUCGGGAUAAGCUUGGGAAACUGGGUCUAAUACCGGAUAGGACCAUGGUUUAGUGUCUCAUGGUGGAAAGAUUAUUGUUUUGGUGCAGGAUGAGCUCGCGGCCUAUCAGCUUGUUGGUGGGGUAAUGGCCUACCAAGGCGUCGACGGGUAGCCGGCCUGAGAGGGUGGACGGCCACAUUGGGACUGAGAUACGGCCCAGACUCCGACGGGAGGCAGCAGUGGGGAAUAUGGCACAAUGGGCGCAAGCCUGAUGCAGCGACGCCGCGUGGGGGAUGACGGCCUUCGGGUUGUAAACUCCUUUCGUUAGGGACGAAGCCGCACUUUUUUGGGGUGUGGUGACGGUACCUUUGUUAAGAAGCACCGGCUAACUACGUG
rnacentral:rRNA from 1 species